rnacentral:lncRNA from 1 species
GCCGGGUCGAGUCCGGUCCAGUCCGGGCGCUGCGGGCAGCCCCGGGGGCUGCUCAUCCGACUGCAGCCGCUGCUGGAAGGUCUUCUCUCCCAACAGAGAUUAUCUUGGAGCCAGAGAUAAGGAAGGGAUCAGGGAUCUCCCAAGAAGGAGUCAAGAAUCCAGUUUAGGAGCCAGGGAGGUGUCUGGCAGGGAGUGUCUCCGGAGCUGAACAAGGUGAAUUUGCUUUGGAUGAUCUGGGAACUGGUGUAGUCAGAGGUCCUGACUGAUAGCCCCUGAACUAAACUUCUGGGAAAGCACUGACCUUCCACCUGGAGUCCAUUGUUGGCUGUGGAGGUAAGGAAGGACCUCAACCUGACUCUGUGGGAUUUGACCUGGUAAAAGUGCUAGAGUUUUGCCCAG